rnacentral:rRNA from 1 species
CCUACGGGAGGCAGCAGUGGGGAAUCUUGUGCAAUGGACGAAAGUCUGACACAGCCACGCCGCGUGCGGGAAGAAGGCCUUCGGGUUGUAAACCGCUUUCAGCAGGAACGAAGAUGACGGUACCUGCAGAAGAAGAUGCGGCCAACUACGUGCCAGCAGCCGCGGUGAUACGUAGGCAUCAAGCGUUGUCCGGAUUUAUUGGGCGUAAAGAGCUCGUAGGCGGUUCAGCAAGUCGGGUGUGAAAACUCUGGGCUUAACCCAGAGCCUGCACUCGAAACUGCUGUGACUAGAGUUCGGUAGGGGAGCAGGGAAUUCCUAGUGUAGCGGUGAAAUGCGCAGAUAUUAGGAGGAACACCAAUGGCGAAGGCACUGCUCUGGGCCGAUACUGACGCUGAGGAGCGAGAGCGUGGGUAGCAAACAGGAUUAGAUACCCUGGUAGUCCACGCCGUAAACGAUGGGCACUAGGUGUGGGUCUCUAACCAACGAGAUCUGCGCCGUCGCUAACGCAUUAAGUGCCCGCCUGGGGAGUACGGUCGCAAGACUAAACUCAAAGGAAUUGACGG